GUUGUUUCCAAUCUAAAAGAUGAGCUUCAUCCUGUGGUUGGUGAAUGGCAAUUUUAUUAGGGAAAAGUCUUGAGAGAUGCUUUGAAGUCUUGGUAGCUUCUUUGUUUCUGUCCUGCAGCCUACUUAGACUAUCCGGUAAAGAAAUGUCAAAGAAUGCUGACGGGCUGUUUGCAAAUUUUGAAAACAAAAAGCUGCUAGGAUGUGACUUCUCUUUGCGACUGUCAGUCUGGG
rnacentral:misc_RNA from 1 species